AUUGAACGCUGGCGACAGGCCUAACACAUGCAAGUCGAGCGAGCGGCGGACGGGUGAGUAAUGUCUGGGAAUCUGCCCGAUGGAGGGGGAUAACUACUGGAAACGGUAGCUAAUACCGCAUACUAUCAGAUGUGCCCAGAUGGGAUUAGCUAGUAGGUGGGGUAACGGCUCACCUAGGCGACGAUCCCUAGCUGGUCUGCGAGGAUGACCAGCCACACUGGGACUGAGACACGGCCCAGACUCCUACGGGAGGAAGCAGUGGGGAAUAUUGCACAAUGGGCGCAAGCCUUAUGCAGCCAUGCCGCGUGUAUGAAGAAGGCCUUCGGGUUGUAAAGCACUUUCAGCGAGGAGGCGUUACUCGCAGAAGAAGCACCGGCUAACUCCGUGCCAGCAGCCGCGGUAAUAC
rnacentral:rRNA from 1 species